rnacentral:rRNA from 1 species
GGUGAUAUGAACCGUUAUAACCGGCGAUUUCCGAAUGGGGAAACCCAGUGUGUUUCGACACACUAUCAUUAACUGAAUCCAUAGGUUAAUGAGGCGAACCGGGGGAACUGAAACAUCUAAGUACCCCGAGGAAAAGAAAUCAACCGAGAUUCCCCCAGUAGCGGCGAGCGAACGGGGAGGAGCCCAGAGCCUGAAUCAGUGUGUGUGUUAGUGGAAGCGUCUGGAAAGGCGCGCGAUACAGGGUGACAGCCCCGUACACAAAAAUACACAUAUUGUGAGCUCGAUGAGUAGGGCGGGACACGUGGUAUCCUGUCUGAAUAUGGGGGGACCAUCCUCCAAGGCUAAAUACUCCUGACUGACCGAUAGUGAACCAGUACCGUGAGGGAAAGGCGAAAAGAACCCCGGCGAGGGGAGUGAAAA